rnacentral:rRNA from 1 species
CAAAGGUAGCAUAAUCAUUAGAGGUUUAAUUGGAAUCUGGUAUGAAUGGUCGGACAAAGGAAAAACUGUCUUUAUAAUAAAAAUUGAAAUUUACAUUUAAGUGAAAAGGCUUAAAUAGGCCAGGGGGACGAUAAGACCCUAUAAAGCUUUAUAAAUAAUUUAAAUUUAGUUAAUUUAAAUUAUAAAAGCUAAGUUUGGUUGUUUUAUUUUGUUGGGGUGAUGUGAGCAUAAUUAAAAUUAACUGCUUAAAAAAAAUUCUGUAUAAAAGAAUUAUAGUAAUAUGAUCCUUUUUAAAGAUUAAAAGACUAAGUUACUUUAGGGGUAACAGCGUUAUUUCUUUUGAGAGUUCAUAUCGAAAAAGAAGAUUGCGACCUCGAUGUUGAAUUAGAGUAUCUAUAUAAUGCAGCCGUUAUAAAAGAGGGUCUGUUCGACCUUUAAAUUUUUACAUGAUUUGAGUU